AACGCAACUUGCGCUCUCUGGUAUUCCGGAGAGCAUGCCUGUUUGAGUGUCAUGAAAUCUCAACCAUUAGGGUUUCUUAAUGGCUUGGAUUUGGAGGUUGCCAUUCUAAAUGGCUCCUCUUAAAGGAGUUAGCAAGUUUUACUAUUGCUAUCUGGCGUAAUAAGUUUCGCUGGAAUGGUAUUGUGAAGCGUGCUUCUAAUCGUCUUCGGACAAUUACUUUGACUCUGGCCUCAAAUCAGGUAGGACUACCCGCUGAACUUAA
rnacentral:misc_RNA from 2 species